CAGAGUUCAUGCCCGAAAGGGUAGACCUCCAUCCGUGCCUAUCCAACUGUGUUGCUUUGGCGGUUGCCCCCAACCGCCAGAGGCCCAAACCCUGAUAAUUAGUGUCGUCCGAGUACUAUACAAUAGUUA
rnacentral:misc_RNA from 1 species